UCUAUUUGCAGCGACUGAAAAAUCCGUCGUUAAUUCUUUUUAUAAAAAAAAAAAUUAAGGUAUUAUUUAGUGAUGGAAUAUAAAUCCCAUUGUUAAUUCCGUCAGUAGGUGUAAACUAAGCGAUAAAUCCUAGGGCACACAUCUAUACUUCGUUUCAUAGCCAACACCACAACACUGAGAGAGAAAGAGCUUCUACUACUGCAUCAAGGGAGAAAUCGUGAGAGAGAUCAAAAUAAUAUGAAUCUAGGGCUUCACUUGCUUUUUUCUCUGCUUCUGUUGCAUCUUUGCUCUUCUUCUACUGCAUCUCUUACUCUUCUUCACUGCUGGAUCAUCUUUUAUCUCAAGGACAUGUUAAGUGUUGGGAAUCUCUAUUUGGGCCGUAAAUCUGCUGACAAUGAAAAUACAAUCUUUGCUUGUGCCAAACCUUGUUGUAUAAUACUAUUGGAGCUUGAAGUUUGUUUAAUCUGUUGCAUGUCGAGAGAAAAAACUUGAAGAACUCAACAUUCUUCAUUCUGUGAUUAGACAAUUCGAUUUCAAUGUUUGAAGUCGGUGUUAGUGAACUGGGGUUUCUUACUCGAUUAUUCAAAACUCAUCCAUAUCAACAUUCUUAAUGCUAUUCAUAGUCCAAAUAUUGGUAUGAUAGUGGUAUUGAUUGACUAUUUUAGGAUUUUGCUAUAGUUUCUUCUCUUGUUCUUUGUUCAUUUACCUUUAAGCUUAAUAGUCUAAAGUUGUGAAUGUUUUCUAAGACCUUUUGCUUGAUUUGUAAGAAUUUAUGCUUUUUAUCUUUGGUAGCUGCUUAAUAUUAUCAAUAGGUGUUUGAUAGCCGAUUAGUAAUUUCUGCAUAUUGUUAGUUUCGAUUCUAGGACAGUUUAAGCACUCAACUUACUUGGUGUUGAUACACUUUUCAGGUGAAUGCUAGGUAAAAAUACAAUUAAUGCUUAAAACGUAAAAACAAUAUCAGAUUGAUAUGUUGAUGUGGUGAGAUUAUAAAGAAUUCAUCCCUUCUUAAGUAAAAGCUUCAAGUUUGAAGCCUGAGAAUAAAUAACUUUUUCAGGAGCGAGCAAUUUACCCUUUAAAAGAUCUCUAAGAACAAUUUUGAAAAAUUGGAUCAGUAAAUUUUGAGUACGCAUAAAGAGAAAUAAAUAAAUGAGAUUGGUACAUAUGGUUUUCUUGUUCGAGCUAAUUAGUUUGAAAAGAAACUUAGGUAGUCACUUUUUCUUUUUUAUGAAGAGAAACUUAGGUAGUCACUGUAAGUUAUACUUAUUUGCAUAGUCUUGGAUAAGGUGACAAUCUAGUAAUUUUCAGUGACUAACCUAGUUAUCCAUUUGAAGAUAAAAAAGGUUUCCUGAUGGAGAAAUGCCUACAGUCAAAAGUGAUUAGUAGCAAUACUUAUUGUAAAAGGAAACAAAAUGUUUGGUAGCAGCUAUCUUUUUGGCUAAGAAUGGUGUAGUGACUGAUGAUCAAUGAAAACUACAGAAGAUAAUGAUAGAAAUAGCUGUAAUCCUCUUGACUAAGAAUGGUAUAAGUGGUGGUAGUUUUCAGUUAGAAGAUUUGAGUUAGCAACACUUGUUUUAAGACGGAACCUCAAUUAUACACUACCAAUGCACUUAUCGUAGCAUUAUUAAACUUGAGGAACAAAAGCGCUUGUAUGUUGUACUUUGUCCAGAUAAUACUUGAGCUCACUUAUUGUAGCAUUAGUAAACUUGUUUACAAUGAUGUGAAGUAAUAUCUAUUUCUUCUCACAAUGGAUAUUAGUUAUUAAUAAAUAUGAGGCAAAAAGAAAUAAAUUUAUUAAAAGCUACAAUUGAUGAGUUGUUUGUUGGACUAUACUUGUUACAUUCUGGGAUUUAUUGAGCCUACUGUUUUGAACUUCUUGUUUUGGAAACUUAAGGCUGGAAUUUAAGGUGAUUAAGGCGAAACGUUUAUUAUGAAGAACAGUGAUCAAUAUGUUUUGUUUUCAGUUUCUCAUUUCUUUUAACGAAAAAGGUGAAUGAUAUGUUCUAUUUCCUUAUGAGAAACGAAAUAUAUGUUUUGUUUCAUUAAGGUAUUUCAACUUGUUCUUCCAUUUAGAGGUCAUCCUGGUUUUAUUAAUUAUAUAAAGAGGGAACUUUGGUUGCUUUGUUUAUUUCAUUAUUAAUAAGAACAUGAAUAAUCUAGACCGUGUUUGGAUGUAUGAGAAGUUGGAUGGCCGAGGGGGUAUAAACACUAGCUUCGUAACUGGUGUGAAUAAUUUGAUCCAGUUUGCACGUUCUCGAAAUCACAUGAGUGGUGACAAGGUUAGAUAUCCAUGUAAAAAAUGUCACAACAUUAAAUACAUGAAUGUUGAAACCGUUAAAUAUAACCUUAUUCAUUCUGGAUUUGUUGAGAACUAUUUUGUUUGGAAGUAUCAAAGGGAAAAUGUGUGAUUGGUGAGAUAACUUCUGGUAACGAUUUGCAUGGUGGUGCUCAACUUGAGUCGGCAUCCGAUAAUCCAUACUGACAAAUGGUUUUGGAUGCGGCUGGUCCCAACUUUGGUCAGGGUUCGAGUUGGCAAUCUCAUAGCAAUAUUAGAGAUGAUUCAUCUCAUCCUUAUGAACCUUCAAGGGAGGAGGAGACUAAUCCUUCAAUGGAGGAGGAACCUAAUCCCGAGUCCAAAGAUUUUAUGAUUUACUACAAGCUGCUAAUGCAGAAUUGUAUCCCAAUUUUUCCCUCUCUCAACUCACAGUAGUCUCCAGGAUGUUAAAUAUUAAAAUAGAUAAUACUUUGUCAUAGAGAGGUUCUAAGAAAAUGAUGGAAUUGUUGAAAGAGGUUUUACUUGAAGAUAACAAAGUGCUUUAUAACUAUUAUCAGACCAAGAAGUUAGCGCGUAGUUUGAGUUUUCCGGUUGAGAAGAUUGAUGUUGUGAUUCGGGAUGUAUGUUAUAUUGGGGUGAUGAUGAACGCUAAUCUUGUAAAUUUUGUGGCUACCAGAGGUAUAAGCGUGGUGUCGGCUCGCGUAAGAGGAAAUUGGUCCCUUACAAGACAAUGUAUUAUUUUCCUUUGAUUUCUAGAUUGCAGAGAUUAUAUGC